AGCGUACACGGUGGAUGCCCUGGCAGUCAGAGGCGAUGAAGGACGUGCUAAUCUGCGAAAAGCGCCGGCGAGGUGAUAUGAACCUUUGACCCGGCGAUGUCCGAAUGGGGAAACCCAGUGCAAUCCGUUGCACUAUCGUUAACUGAAUACAUAGGUUAACGAGGCGAACCGGGGGAACUGAAACAUCUAAGUACCCCGAGGAAAAGAAAUCAACCGAGAUUCCCCCAGUAGCGGCGAGCGAACGGGGAGCAGCCCGGAGUCUGAAUCAGCUUGUGUGUUAGUGGAACGGUCUGGAAAGUCCGGCGAUACAGGGUGAUAGCCCCGUACACGAAAGCACAUAUGCUGUGAACUCGAAGAGUAGGGCGGGACACGUGGUAUCCUGUCUGAAUAUGGGGGGACCAUCCUCCAAGGCUAAAUACUCCUGACUGACCGAUAGUGAACCAGUACCGUGAGGGAAAGGCGAAAAGAACCCCGGCGAGGGGAGUGAAAAAGAACCUGAAACCGUGUACGUACAAGCAGUGGGAGCCUCUUUAUGGGGUGACUGCGUACCUUUUGUAUAAUGGGUCAGCGACUUAUAUUCUGUAGCAAGGUUAACCGUAUAGGGGAGCCGAAGGGAAACCGAGUCUUAACUGGGCGUUAAGUUGCAGGGUAUAGACCCGAAACCCGGUGAUCUAGCCAUGGGCAGGUUGAAGGUUGGGUAACACUAACUGGAGGACCGAACCGACUAAUGUUGAAAAAUUAGCGGAUGACCUGUGGCUGGGGGUGAAAGGCCAAUCAAACCGGGAGAUAGCUGGUUCUCCCCGAAAGCUAUUUAGGUAGCGCCUCGUGAACUCAUCUUCGGGGGUAGAGCACUGUUUCGGCUAGGGGGCCAUCCCGGCUUACCAACCCGAUGCAAACUACGAAUACCGAAGAAUGUUAUCACGGGAGACACACGGCGGGUGCUAACGUCCGUCGUGAAGAGGGAAACAACCCAGACCGCCAGCUAAGGUCCCAAAGUCAUGGUUAAGUGGGAAACGAUGUGGGAAGGCACAGACAGCCAGGAUGUUGGCUUAGAAGCAGCCAUCAUUUAAAGAAAGCGUAAUAGCUCACUGGUCGAGUCGGCCUGCGCGGAAGAUGUAACGGGGCUAAACCAUGCACCGAAGCUGCGGCAGCGACACUAUGUGUUGUUGGGUAGGGGAGCGUUCUGUAAGCCGUUGAAGGUGUGCUGUGAGGCAUGCUGGAGGUAUCAGAAGUGCGAAUGCUGACAUAAGUAACGAUAAAGCGGGUGAAAAGCCCGCUCGCCGGAAGACCAAGGGUUCCUGUCCAACGUUAAUCGGGGCAGGGUGAGUCGACCCCUAAGGCGAGGCCGAAAGGCGUAGUCGAUGGGAAACAGGUUAAUAUUCCUGUACUUGGUGUUACUGCGAAGGGGGGACGGAGAAGGCUAUGUCAGCCGGGCGACGGUUGUCCCGGUUUAAGCAUGUAGGCGGAGGUUCCAGGUAAAUCCGGUACCUUGUUAACGCUGAGGUGUGAUGACGAGGCACUACGGUGCUGAAGUGAUAAAUGCCCUGCUUCCAGGAAAAGCCUCUAAGCAUCAGGUAACACGAAAUCGUACCCCAAACCGACACAGGUGGUCAGGUAGAGAAUACCAAGGCGCUUGAGAGAACUCGGGUGAAGGAACUAGGCAAAAUGGUGCCGUAACUUCGGGAGAAGGCACGCUGAUAUGUAGGUGAAGCCCCUGCGGGCGGAGCUGAAAUCAGUCGAAGAUACCAGCUGGCUGCAACUGUUUAUUAAAAACACAGCACUGUGCAAACACGAAAGUGGACGUAUACGGUGUGACGCCUGCCCGGUGCCGGAAGGUUAAUUGAUGGGGUUAGCGGCAACGCGAAGCUCUUGAUCGAAGCCCCGGUAAACGGCGGCCGUAACUAUAACGGUCCUAAGGUAGCGAAAUUCCUUGUCGGGUAAGUUCCGACCUGCACGAAUGGCGUAAUGAUGGCCAGGCUGUCUCCACCCGAGACUCAGUGAAAUUGAACUCGCUGUGAAGAUGCAGUGUACCCGCGGCAAGACGGAAAGACCCCGUGAACCUUUACUAUAGCUUGACACUGAACACUGGUCCUUGAUGUGUAGGAUAGGUGGGAGGCUUUGAAGCGUGGACGCCAGUCUGCGUGGAGCCAACCUUGAAAUACCACCCUUUAAUGGCUGGUGUUCUAACGUAGACCCGUAAUCCGGGUUGCGGACAGUGUCUGGUGGGUAGUUUGACUGGGGCGGUCUCCUCCCAAAGAGUAACGGAGGAGCACGAAGGUUGGCUAAUCCUGGUCGGACAUCAGGAGGUUAGUGCAAUGGCAUAAGCCAGCUUGACUGCGAGCGUGACGGCGCGAGCAGGUGCGAAAGCAGGUCAUAGUGAUCCGGUGGUUCUGAAUGGAAGGGCCAUCGCUCAACGGAUAAAAGGUACUCCGGGGAUAACAGGCUGAUACCGCCCAAGAGUUCAUAUCGACGGCGGUGUUUGGCACCUCGAUGUCGGCUCAUCACAUCCUGGGGCUGAAGUAGGUCCCAAGGGUAUGGCUGUUCGCCAUUUAAAGUGGUACGCGAGCUGGGUUUAGAACGUCGUGAGACAGUUCGGUCCCUAUCUGCCGUGGGCGCUGGAGAAUUGAGGGGGGCUGCUCCUAGUACGAGAGGACCGGAGUGGACGCAUCACUGGUGUUCGGGUUGUCAUGCCAAUGGCACUGCCCGGUAGCUAAAUGCGGAA
rnacentral:rRNA from 1 species